AAUUGUGAACAGAGGAAGAUGGAAUUUGGUUUCAAGUAAAGAAAAAGCUAGCAGAGAACUGGACAUUGCUGAUGAUAUUCUACUUUAGCUUCCACUUUCAAGUUUUCUAAAUGGAUUCAUGCUUUAAUUUCUCCCAGAGAUCAGAAUAUUCCUGCUUUCAUGAAAAACAGGCUCAGAUCCAGGCAGCUCCAUCUCUAACGAGGUCAAACUUAAGCUUUGCAUGGAAAAAUCCUUUGCC